UUUGGGAUGUGCUCGCUCAGCAGAGCUGUUCUCAACCUCAGAGGGUGUAUCGAUGAAGUGGGAGUGCCUGGAGAGAAGAGAAGGGAGAAGUGGGUCUCUGCAGUUGUGUCAGGAACUUUCUGCAUUUUGGUAGCAAGUACUGAUAUCACAGAUGCACCAUUAGGAAGAAAGGAAAAGAAUGUGGAACCCAGAAUCUGCUUAACAUGGGCAGAGAGCAAGGAGCCAAGUAUCCGAAAAAUGUCACCCUGUUUCUGAGAGUUCAUCAUGGGGCUCAGUGCCCAGCAUGCAGCCAACGAAGACUGAAAAAUAAACAAGCGAGCAAGAGAAUGCACGAAUACAGGACAGCUGGCUUCUUGCUGCAGGGCUUGAAUUCAAAUCUCAGCCCCCUGGCUGACCUCCCUCUGCAAGACCCAAUGACUUCAUCCACAAAGCAGGAGAGGGAUGAGAUCAUCUCCGGGAUUCCUUCCAGUCCCAACCCUCUAGACUGUGUAUCCACUUAGGAAAAAGAACCUUUAUGCCAUCAGCCCACUGAACGUGAGCAGGGAAGAAACCCCCUGGGUGGGAUUCAGGCUCACACACAAUCACCUCUAUCCUGUGCCAUCUCCCAAACAUCACACAACAGCCUGCUGACAAGGGUCAGACAUUUUCUGUUGCUAACAAAAGAAGGAUCGAGCACACCACUGAAGCACACUCUUCCUUUCUGCAAGCCGUUCCACACUUCAUACUUCAAGAGUGAUCCAACGCAUGGCAAGUGAGAGUCUAUGCGGGCCCUGAAGACGGCGAGGACGAGCUCGUUCCCUCUAGCAGUCCGACUGAUGGCAUGCUUAUUAUCCUCCCACCCUUGGCAUCAAGAUAUUUUUAAACUCAGUUCCAUCAUAAAGUCUCCCUUUGGGAAGAAACAAAACGUUCUACUGCUUUAAGAAAGUUGGGAAGCCACCAAGCCAUGGCCAACAGCUUUAUUUGGUAGCAAGAAAAUCAGGGCCCGGAGACACCUGCUCCAAGGCACGCAGCUUGUCACUGCGCUGUGGUUGGAAAUGGGCUUCGAGGACCUACAAGGUGCUCCUUUUUGGCACUGUGACGUGACACAUGAGCUCAGCUGGAAGGACUUAGGAAGCAGGCUGUGACAGAUGGUUUUCAUCUCCUGGGCUCUGGGGAAUCUGUUACCAUCCCCCUAAUUGGAUGUUGGGAGCUUCGAGCAAACUGGUCAUCGACAUCUUAUCAUUGUUCAGGAUCCCUAAUUAUACCUUGGAAUUUGGCUUAAGCGCAGCUUAUGGGCUGUUCAUUAAUACUGUCGACAGGGACACUCAGCCUUUAUGAAAUUCUUCAUAGGAAUUUAAGUCCCCACAUUGUUCUGGUGCAUUAAGAAAGCACGUCUGCUCCCCGCUGAAAGAUGACUUCAGUUAAGCGCCUGGAGUCUGGCUGACUUUGAGUUGUUUUUCUAACGUC